GGUGAGAUGGCCGAGUUGGUUAUGGCGUCAGGUUAAGGUCCUGGUGGAGCAAUCCUCCUGGGUUCGAGCCCCAGUCUCAUCA
rnacentral:tRNA from 1 species